CGAUUAGAGUUUGAUCCUGGCUCAGAUUGAACGCUGGCGGCAGGCCUAACACAUGCAAGUCGAGCGGUAACAGAUCUAGCUUGCUAGAUGCUGAAGAGCGGCGGACUGGUGAGUAACGCGUAGGAAUUUGCCUAGUAGUGGGGGAACCAUUGGAAACGAUGGCUAAUACCGCAUACGCCCUACGGGGGAAAGAAGGGGACUCUACGGAGCCUUUCGCGAUUGGAUGUGCCCAAGUGGGAUUAGCUAGUUGGUGAGGUAAAGGCUCACCAAGGCAACGAUCCCUAGCUGGUUUGAGAGGAUGAUCAGCCACACUGGAACUGAGACACGGUCCAGACUCCUACUGGAGGCAGCAGUGGGGAAUAUUGCACAAUGGGCGCAAGCCUGAUGCAGCCAUGCCGCGUGUAUGAAGAAGGCCUUCGGGUUGUAAAGUACUUUCAGCGAGGAGGAAAGGGUGUAGGUUAAUAACCAUUAGGAUUGACGUUACCUGCAGAAUAAGCACCGGCUAACUCCGUGCCAGCAGUCGCGGUAAUACGGAGGGUGCAAGCGUUAAUCGGAAUUACUGGGCGUAAAGCGCGCGUAGGCGGUAUUGUAAGUGGGAUGUGAAAGCCCCGGGCUUAACCUGGGAACUGCAUUCCAAACUGCAAAACUAGAGUAUGGUAGAGGAUGGUAGAAUUUCAGGUGUAGCGGUGAAAUGCGUAGAGAUCUGAAGGAAUACCAGUGGCGAAGGCGGCCUUCUGGACAGAUACUGACACUCAGAUGCGAAAGCGUGGGUAGCAAACAGGAUUAGAUACCCUGGUAGUCCACGCUGUAAACGAUGUCUACUUGGAGGUUGUGGCCUUGAGCCGUGGCUUUCGGAGCUAACGCGUUAAGUAGACCGCCUGGGGAGUACGGUCGCAAGAUUAAAACUCAAAUGAAUUGACGGGGGCCCGCACAAGCGGUGGAGCAUGUGGUUUAAUUCGAUGCAACGCGAAGAACCUUACCUACUCUUGACAUCCAGAGAACUUAGCAGAGAUGCUUUGGUGCCUUCGGGAACUCUGAGACAGGUGCUGCAUGGCUGUCGUCAGCUCGUGUUGUGAAAUGUUGGGUUAAGUCCCGCAACGAGCGCAACCCUUAUCCUUAUUUGCCAGCACUUCGGGUGGGAACUUUAAGGAGACUGCCGGUGAUAAACCGGAGGAAGGUGGGGAUGACGUCAAGUCCUCAUGGCCCUUAUGGGUAGGGCUUCACACGUAAUACAAUGGCGCGUACAGAGGGUUGCCAACCCGCAAGGGGGAGCUAAUCUCAGAAAGCGCGUCGUAGUCCGGAUUGCACUCUGCAACUCGAGUGCAUGAAGUCGGAAUCGCUAGUAAUCGCGGAUCAGAAUGUCGCGGUGAAUACGUUCCCGGGUCUUGUACACACCGCCCGUCACACCAUGGGAGUGGACUCUGCCAGAAGUAGGUAGCCUAACCGUAAGGAGGGCGCUUACCACGGUGGGUUUCAUGACUGGGGUGAAGUCGUAACAAGGUAGCCGUAGCGGAAGCUGCGGCUGGAUCACCUCCUA
rnacentral:rRNA from 1 species